rnacentral:rRNA from 1 species
CGUAUAUUAAAGUUGUUGCAGUUAAAAAGCUCGUAGUUGGAUUUGUGGAUGGUCUUGAGGUCCACGUUUUGCGUUGGUACUAUUGAGAUUGUCCAUCCUUGGGUGGAAUCUGUGUGGCAUUCGGUUGUCGCGCAGGGGAUGCCCAUCGUUUACUGUGAAAAAAUCAGCGNGUUCCAAGCAGGCUUAUGCCGUUGAAUGUAUUAGCAUGGAAUAAUGAGAUAGGACCUCGGUACUAUUUUGUUGGUUUGCGCACUGGGGUAAUGAUUAAUAGGGACAGUUGGGGG